GAUGAACGCUGGCGGCGUGCCUAAUACAUGCAAGUCGAACGAAACUUCUUUAUCACCGAGUGCUUGCACUCACCGAUAAAGAGUUGAGUGGCGAACGGGUGAGUAACACGUGGGCAACCUGCCCAAAAGAGGGGGAUAACACUUGGAAACAGGUGCUAAUACCGCAUAACCAUAGUUACCGCAUGGUAACUAUGUAAAAGGUGGCUAUACUACCGCUUUUGGAUGGGCCCGCGGCGCAUUAGCUAGUUGGUAGGGUAAAGGCUUACCAAGGCAAUGAUGCGUAGCCGAAUUGAGAGGUUGAUCGGCCACAUUGGGACUGAGACACGGCCCAAACUCCUACGGGAGGCAGCAGUAGGGAAUCUUCCACAAUGGGCGAAAGCCUGAUGGAGCAACGCCGCGUGGGUGAAGAAGGUCUUCGGAUCGUAAAACCCUGUUGUUAGAGAAGAAAGUGCGUGAGAGUAACUGUUCACGUUUCGACGGUAUCUAACCAGAAAGCCUCGGCUAACUACGU
rnacentral:rRNA from 1 species